CAAUAGCGUAUAUUAAAGUUGCUGCAGUUAAAAAGCUCGUAGUUGCAUUUCCGAGGCAAGGGAUUAGUCCGACCUUUGGUGGGUAUUUAAUCCUCCUGCCUCGUCCUUGAGUGGUGCUUCUUGGUAUUAAGUUAUCGAGGAGAUAGCCGCUCAUCGUUUACUGUGAGAAAAUUAGAGUGUUCAAAGCAGGCUUAUGCCGUUGAAUAUAUUAGCAUGGAAUAAUAAGAUAGGACCUCGGUACUAUUUUGUUGGUUUGAGAACCAAGGUAAUGAUGAAUAGGGACAGUUGGGGGUAUUCGUAUUCAGUUGUCAGAGGUGAAAUUCUUAGAUUUACGGAAGACGAACUACUGCGAAAGCAUUUACCAAGGAUGUUUUCAUUAA
rnacentral:rRNA from 1 species